GACGAACGCUGGCGGCGUGCUUAACACAUGCAAGUCGAACGGAAAGGCCCUGCGUUUGUGGGGUGCUCGAGUGGCGAACGGGUGAGUAACACGUGAGUAACCUGCCCCUGACUUUGGGAUAACUUCAGGAAACUGGGGCUAAUACCGGAUAGGAGCUCCUGCUGCAUGGUGGGGGUUGGAAAGUUUCGGCGGUUGGGGAUGGACUCGCGGCUUAUCAGCUUGUUGGUGGGGUAGUGGCUUACCAAGGCUUUGACGGGUAGCCGGCCUGAGAGGGUGACCGGCCACAAUGCGACUGAGAGACGGCCCAGACUGCAACGGGAGGCAGCAGUGGGGAAUAUUGCACAAUGGGCGCAAGCCUGAUGCAGCAACGCCGCGUGCGUGAUGACGGCCUUCGGGUUGUAAACCGCUUUCGCCUGUGACGAAGCGUGAGUGACGGUAAUGGGUGAAGAAGCACCGGCUAACUACGUG
rnacentral:rRNA from 1 species